rnacentral:rRNA from 11 species
CCUGGCGACCAUAGCGUUUUGGAUCCACCUGACUCCAUUCCGAACUCAGAAGUGAAACGAAAUAGCGUCGAUGGUAGUGUGGGGUUUCCCCAUGUGAGAGUAGAACAUCGCCAGGC